rnacentral:lncRNA from 1 species
AGUCAAUCUCGGAGUAUUUUACUCGAGUCCUCACUAUAGUGAACAAUAUCAAGUGUAGUGGAGAAAAGAUCAAAGAUUUGCAGGUAAUAGAAAAAAUUCUUUGUUCUCUAAAUUCGAAGUUUAAUAAUGCAGUCAUAGCAAUUGAGAAAUCCAAAGACCUCAGUACUAUGGCUAUUAAUGAACUAUUGGCUUCUUUAAAGAUCCAUGAACAAUGGAUCAAUAAAAAAACUUCAUCAAAAUCUCUUGAUCAAACAUUGUAAUCAAAGCUUGCUUUUCAAGAAAAUAAAGAAGAUGAAGGAAAUUCACAACCAAGUCGAGGAAGGGGCCGAUUUCAAAGAGAACAAGGUUUUAAUAAUAGAGAAAGAGGAAGAAGAUUUAACAUCAAUGGUGGACAUGAAAUUCAACAACAAAUUUAUCAAAGAGGAAGAGGUCAAUACAGAGUCGAGGUAGAGGACAAAAUAGAGGAAAAGAAAGACGCAAAAAUGGUUUUAAUCAUCAAAUGGGGGACAAAAGGAACGUGCAG